ACGUAGGGAGCAAGCGUUGUCCGGAUUUACUGGGCGUAAAGGGCGCGUAGGCGGCCUGUUAAGUAUGAAGUGAAAUCUCCGGGCUUAACCCGGAAACUGCUUUGUAAACUGGCAGGCUAGAGGAAGGUAGAGGUGAAUGGAAUUCCCGGUGUAGCGGUGACAUGCAUUGAUAUCGGGAGGAACACCCAUGGCGAAGGCAGUUCACUGGACCUUACCUGACGCUGAGGCGCGAAAGCGUGGGGAGCAAACAGG
rnacentral:rRNA from 1 species